GGCGGUGUAGCUAAGUUGGGUAGAGCAGCGGAAUCAUUAUCCACGUGUCCGGGGUUCGAGUCCCUGCACCGCCACCA
rnacentral:tRNA from 1 species